rnacentral:lncRNA from 1 species
AAGCUGUUUCGCUCGUUUGUCAACCCAAAUAGCCACAAAAAAUCACAAACCUCCCUGCAUGUUUCAAUCAAUUUUUGACCCACAAAACGCCUAGUGCCUGACCCACCCAAAAACUGUGGGUUGUAGCACAUUGAUUUAGCCCGAAAAGGCCCCACUUUGCUUAUUUGUUAGCCCAAAUAGCCACAAAAAUUAAACGGACCACAUUGGGACUUUCCUUAACCUC